UUGGGGGCCCGGCCCCUUCCCUCCCACCCAGAGCCCCCUCCCUCUUGACUUUGCCUAGCAGAGAAGAGCUAUAAACCAGCCUUCCUUCUGGGAGUGAUUUAAAAUUCACUAUGAACGGUUGACUCACAGUCUAAAAAUGUGCCCAGGGCAUAGUUGUGGCGACCGAGCCUGGUUCGUGGACCCAGCCCGAAGCCUCGCUCGGCCUGGGCCUUUCUGCGGGCCUGUCCCGAGCACACGGCCGCCCGCGCCUUCCUGCCCACCCGCCGCCCUCGCCGUUCCCUUCCCGCCUUCGGCCGUGGGGUUUGGCCCGAGAUGCGGUGGAGAGGAUGGAGGGAGGAAGCCUCCCAUCUGGAGAGGAAUCAGUGUCCAGACGAGAAAGGAAAUUGCUCCGAGAUGAUGGAAAUGGGAGCCAAGCUGGACGGCCAAGUUAGAUAGAGGGGGGCGGGGGCGGGGGGCACGACCCAGCGGGGCUCUGGGCCCCUGACACGCGGCUGGGGACAGGGCGUGAGGGGCACCGAGGAGCCCGGCUGGCGGACAUCCUGGGUCAGCUGGAGGGGUGGGCACGGACGGGCCCCUGGGGACGGGGUGGUCCUUCCAGAGACGAGAGGGGAGGCCAAGGCGAAGGGACCAAGGCCGACGACGAGGACCGACCUCCGGCCCCAUGCAGGGGCCACCCCGAGCCCUCCGAGCGCCGCCUUCGCCCAGGGGUCCUGCAGGCCCGUCAGCUGAUGGGGAGACAGAGGGGGAGGCAGGAGGAGGUUGGAAGGGGCACCCGUUCCCCCAUGGGUGCACGGAGUGUUCUGGCAAGGAGGGGCGUCCAGCCGCUCGGGGGGCGUGGCGAUGACGGGAAGGUGGCGGGUCCCCUGGAAGACACAGAGGGAGCUGAGUCCUGCGGGCCGGGCGGAGAGAGCCAGGUCUGGGGGCGGGGGUGGGGCGGCUGCUCCAGGUGACCCUGGUGGGCAGAGGCGCUCUGGGGUAGAGGGGCGCCGGGGGGCUCAGGUGGUGGACAGAGAAAUAGACAGUGGUGGGAGACGAGCGUUUAGGGUCGAGGGGGUUAAGAUGAGACGUGGGGGCAGGAGCAGCCAGGCCCUGCUCAGAUGAGGCCGGCGGAGCGGGGGCUGGUGGCGGGGAGGGGACCAGCCGGCUCCCCGCUCCUUGGGCCUCAGAAGAGUUUGGGCCAGACCCCGCCUUGACUGCAACCCUGCCCCUGGGGUUCAGUUCUCCCCCUGCUCUGCCCCUCCUCAGCCUGCAGUGAGGAUCAAAUGGGGCAACUUGUGUGAUAACAGUUAAGUGGUCACAGUGUCGCGUGUGUGCGGGGCUGAAGCGGCUCCCAGUGGCGUGGGCCGCCGGGUCCGCCUUGCGGAGCCGUCUGUGAGAAGGGGCAUCGCCUGGCAGGAGCCCAGGACUGAGCUGUGAGGAUGCUGUCCCGCCGCAGACAAACUGCAGCUGGACCAACGCCCCGCGGAGCAGGGCGUCGCCUCGGGUGGGUCCAGGGAGUCCCAGGUGAGCCCACCCAUCCGGCGCCCUCCCGUCCACUCGGAGGCUGACCUCCCCUGCUCUCCCGUCAGCCCCCUGGAGCCAACUGAGCGGCACACAAGGUGACAUCCGCUGGCUCUGCUGGGACGAGCUGCGCAGACAGCACGGCACACGUGACGUGUGACCUCUGUCUUCUGAGGACAAGCUGAGGAAUGUGCUCUGGGGCAGGAUCGAGGGUCACUGGGCAGGCGGCGAGGUCCGGGCCGGGCAUCUGGAGAGCAGACGCGAAGGGUGAGCUCACUGUCACGCUGGGCCAGCAGCUCCCCACGAGGCCACAGGAGCUGGCCGGGCGGGGUGCGGAUCCAGGCGGGGCCGAGUCAGCCAGAGAAGCCCAGAGGGUCUGUGGUCCGCAGGCCACGCGUCUGGCCAUGGGCGGUGUGCCCAGGGGCGGCAGAGGCUCCCACACAGGGCCUGGGUCCUCGGACGCUCUGGGCGCGAGAAAACUGGGGCCUCAGGAAGGCUGCUGAGUGUGUCAGGUGUGUCAGGCAGAGACGGAGACCCAGGGCUGGUGCCGUCAUCUCAAUUUCCACGGCUGCCCCGUGUGGGCUGUGGCAGUCGCUGGGCCAGCGUUUCCCUGGUGUGAAUCUGUCCCUCGGUGGUCACCGUCACACAGCUGCUGCUCUCCGGGCCAGCAGCGGUUAACACCGCCCGGGCGAGGGGCGGCCGUGUGGCACACUCCUGUGGAAAUGCGUUCGAAGGCGGUGGAGACAGUAGUCGUGGGGUCACAGGACCUCUGGCUCAGCGGCGGAACUGGUCGUGGGGGGACCUUUUGGAACCCGCCGAUGAAUUACCGAGUUCUGGAAGGAGGCGCUGAGCGCCCGCUGGGACAGCAGGUGAGGCCAGCCCGUUCGUCUGCAGGUGGGAGCGCGAGAUUGGAGCAGGCUCCCGGGUCCCAGGGCGCUGGCUCCCCGCGUGGCUCUGAGGCCGAAGACAUAAGCGGCAGAGCUCUCGCCGAGCCCGACUGCCAUCUCCGUGACCGUCUCUGGGACGUGCUCUGCCUGGUCUCACAAGGCGAAACCAGAAGCCCGUGCAGGCGGGCUGCCGGUCCCCCCGGAGCACCCUCUGGGGGCCGGGCCCACCACAGGGACUUAGGGUCUCAGGAACAAGCCCGGCAAAGUCCACGUUCUCUGGGGGUCCUGCCCACCCACCGGGAAGGGUAAGUGGCCUUGUUCCGUCAGGUGCCAGGGGCAGGGGCUGGAGUGGGGGCUCUGGGGAGUCCCAGAUGGCGUGGGAGAAUGGGGACCAGAACCACAAAACACUGCCCAGUGGCAGCUGCUAUCCACUGAGUCGUCCCAAACCAUUUCAGAGGUGAAGAAAUUGAGACCCACCUCCCCCAAGUUGCAUGACAAGUGGCGGGCAGAGCAUCUGUGAACCCAGCUGCUGGGCCAGUGAGGCAUUCAGCACCUGACCGACGCCAGCCUGGAGUCUGCAGAGCCUCUGGCCCAGAUGGCCUGGCUGUUUCUACGCAUUGUGUGUCUGCAAAGAAACAGACUUACAGCAGAAGCAGAGCCGAGGUGGGAGCGAGCUGUCGGCCUCCAGGGGUCCCCGACGUUCUCGAUCCGUUAUCUCGAACCCCGCCCAGACGCCGUGACACGCCUGCCCGGCCGCUGGCUUCGCAAGCCCGGUGCUUUAGUUACCCGAAGCCACUGGCUGACCCAGAGAUCACAGGAUGCCCGGCCUGGAACGGCUGGCUUUCGGUCCCUUUAAUUGUGUCCCUCUGCCUGCUGAGCUAUCCGCAUUCUGAAAGCGACUUAUUUAUAUCUGCUCCUCGAGGCGGGCCCAGUGAGACGCCCGGCUGGCGGUGCCCUCGGCCCCUGGUCUGCGGCCAGCUAUUCGAACCGACUUGGAUUCUUAGAACAAAAUAAAACUGUCUCCGUUUCA